CUCAAACAAAAAAGGACAAAAGACAAGCGAAUGUGCGAGUAUGUCAGGAUCAGUAGCUGAGAAACAAAGAGCUGACACUGAUCAACAGAAGAGCAGCCAA